rnacentral:lncRNA from 1 species
GGUGGGGCCAGUAGGCUAUUACUUUCAUUGGCAUGGUCAGAUGGUGGGGGCCACUAGGCUGUCACACUUACCAAUACCAAUGAUGUAAAUAAGUUCAAUUUUUAUUUAUUUAAAUUCGUGGUUAUCUGUGAUGGUACAUUUGGUACCCCACAUUUGACGUAUUCAUAUGCGAAUUUACGUGAACCGGUUCUCAAAAGUACCGCGAACCGGUUCAUACGAACCGGUUUGCGGUUCGCUACAGUG